GGGGCUGCAUUGGUUUCGACGUGGAUUGGAAUCGCAGCGGUGCAUGUCGAGGUUCAGUCACCUCGUAAAACAGCUGAAACAAACUAACUGCAAACGACGAACGUUUCGCACUCGCCGCUUAAACACCGGUGAGCCUCGCAACAGCAUGCCAAUGGGCUGGGCAAGGGGGGCAACCUCCAGGCUGCGAGGGAAUUCACAUUGGCUGGCCCGUGUCCGGGCACCUUGGGCACAGGCGAGACUUCAGGGUGCUGGCUGUCUGGGUGGCGUGCGGCUGCGCUGCCCGGGUGGCAAGAUUCAAUACAGACCGCUAAACAUGUAGAUCUGCGCGUGGAAGGUUUGCGGACGGGGGUUCAAUUCCCCCCAGCUCCACCA
rnacentral:tmRNA from 1 species